AUCAGUUUGAGCUGUGAUCAUGUGGAAUAAGCAUUAAAUAGGUGUUGGGACUACAGGAGAUGAAAAUCUUAUGUCAAGUUGGCAAAGUUGGGUGUGAUUCAGUCCUCCGUUUGUGAAACAAGGCUCUAAUUGCCCUGCUUACGUCAUCCAGAUGUUGAGAGGAUGAAAUGGAGAAGAAAGCUGUGCAUAUGCUUUUACAUGUUCAUAUUGAAGGACUCGACUGACCCAUGAAAAGGACUUAGGAAGGAAGAUAGUCUGGGAACAGAAUGAAAAUCUUGAGACACAGCUUUCUCUAGUUGGGCUUCAGCCUUGGUAACAACGAGAGAAAAACCAUGAACCUCAUCUUCCAAUUUUCACAAGCAAAAUACAUCAGUCUCUGCUUUCCGUACCCAGAGGAGCUAGUCUGGAGUCAUAAAUUGCAGUAGCUGAGAUGGAGUCUGAGUUCACACUUC
rnacentral:lncRNA from 1 species